UACGUAGGGGGCAAGCGUUGUCCGGAAUCAUUGGGCGUAAAGAGCGCGUAGGCGGCCCAGUAAGUCCGCUCUGAAAGUCAGAGGCUCAACCUCUGAAUGCGGGUGGAUACUGCUGGGCUAGAGUCCGGAAGAGGCGAGUGGAAUUCCCGGUGUAGCGGUGGAAUGCGUAGAGAUCCGGAAGAACACCGGAGGCGAAGGCGGCUUGCUGGGCGUGAUCUGACGCUGAGGCGCGAAAGCGUGGGGAGCGAACAGG
rnacentral:rRNA from 1 species